GGCAAGAGCUCAAAUUUGAAAGCUGGCUCCUUCGGGGUCCGCAUUGUAAUUUGUAGAGGAUGCUUCGGGAGCGGUCCCCAUCUAAGUGCCCUGGAACGGGACGUCAUAGAGGGUGAGAAUCCCGUAUGGGAUGGGGUGUCCGCGCCCGUGUGAAGCUCCUUCGACGAGUCGAGUUGUUUGGGAAUGCAGCUCUAAAUGGGUGGUAAAUUUCAUCUAAAGCUAAAUAUUGGCCGGAGACCGAUAGCGCACAAGUAGAGUGAUCGAAAGAUGAAAAGCACUUUGAAAAGAGAGUUAAAAAGCACGUGAAAUUGUUGAAAGGGAAGCGCUUGCGACCAGACUCGCUCGCGGGGUUCAGCCGGCAUUCGUGCCGGUGUACUUCCCCGCGGGCGGGCCAGCGUCGGUUUGGGCGGUCGGUCAAAGGCCCUCGGAAGGUAACGCCCCUAGGGGCGUCUUAUAGCCGAGGGUGCAAUGCGACCUGCCUAGACCGAGGAACGCGCUUCGGCUCGGACG
rnacentral:rRNA from 1 species